GUCAGUAGACGAGUGGUCUAGACCGUUGGUUUUCGACCACUACGACCCGGGUUCGAAUCCCGUUUUGGGCA
rnacentral:tRNA from 1 species